rnacentral:tRNA from 1 species
CGGCGUGUAGCUCAGUAGGAGAGCAGCGAGCUUACACCUCGCCGGUCGCUGGUGCGAAUCCAGCCGCGCCGACCA